rnacentral:lncRNA from 1 species
UCUAUUGAUUGGUGCAGUUCUUGUGUGCCAAAGGGCUAUAAAUUUGAUGCAGAUAUAAGUUAUAAAAAUUUAACAAACAGUAAGAGCAGAGAGCUGCUGAGGGCAUGUGGGUGGAAGUUAUUGGUAUUGAUGUUUGGUUAGUUUGUAUGCCACAGACCUAAAGGGCAAUAUCGCAGUACAGGAAGUACAUCUGGAUGCUUUCUUUUUAAACAACUGAUUGUCCUACAUGGAUAGCAAUUUUGACAAAGCUUCCUUUCUAAACAACUUAUUGUCAUAUAUGGAAGUAAUUUGACAAUUUCUUUUACCAUCCUGUGCAGACAUGCAAAUCUUGAACUCAGAUGAUCAUGCUAAUUAAGGAAGCAGAAUCACAAUCCUGC